rnacentral:lncRNA from 1 species
CUAGGAUGAAAUUUGAAAAAAAAAGGCAGGACAGGAUUUUGAGUAAAAAAAAAGGCAGGAUGAGUAACUUGGCAAAAAAAAAAAAGGCAGGAUGACAAUUGUUGUAAAAAAGUCAGGAUAAGCUAAGAAAAAAAGAGGCAGGACCGAAUAGACUGAAAAAUAAAAAGGCAGGACAGAGAUUACAACUAAAAAAAAAAGGCAGGACAAAAUUUUUCAUCCUAGCCCCC